GUUCUGAAUGUGAAAGCCCCCGGCUCAACCGGGGAGGGUCAUUGGAAACUGGGGAACUUGAGUGCAGAAGAGGAGAGUGGAAUUCCACGUGUAGCGGUGAAAUGCGUAGAGAUGUGGAGGAACACCAGUGGCGAAGGCGACUCUCUGGUCUGUAACUGACGCUGAGGAGCGAAAGCGUGGGGAGCGAACAGGAUUAGAUACCCUGGUAAUCCCCCCCCUUAACCGAUGAGUGCUAAGUGUUAGGGGGUUUCCGCCCCUUAGUGCUGCAGCUAACGCAUUAAGCACUCCGCCUGGGGAGUACGGUCGCAAGACUGAAACUCAAAGGAAUUGACGGGGGCCCGCACAAGCGGUGGAGCAUGUGGUUUAAUUCGAAGCAACGCGAAGAACCUUACCAGGUCUUGACAUCCUCUGACAAUCCUAGAGAUAGGACGUCCCCUUCGGGGGCAGAGUGACAGGUGGUGCAUGGUUGU
rnacentral:rRNA from 1 species